AUGUCAUUGGCCUAAUUUGUUUCACGCAAUCUCUGUUAUCAGCAACAUCAAUGGAUAAUUAACUGCCACAAUAUUUGGGCACCCAAUAAGACUUUGACCUGGUCAAUAGGGAGUUGCUUUGCCCUAUAUGUAGGUAUAAUAUCUCAAAGUUAAACCAAUAACACU